rnacentral:misc_RNA from 1 species
AACAAGGCGUACCUGCGGACCUGCGGAAGGAUCAUUCAUGUGUCUAAUAUAUGGACAUCUUAAUCCAUAUCCACCUUGUGUGCACUGUUUUGCUGUUGAUUUUGGCAUGUGUUUUGAGCUCGCUAGAAGUCUCAAAGGCAUACAGCCGUCUGUUCUCCAGACCUGUGUGGCAUGCCAAAGUUUUCCUCCAACAAAAUACCUAUUGAAACUUUAGCCUAAACAUUUUUAUUGUAUCUUAAA